rnacentral:lncRNA from 1 species
CUUCUGCCAUGUGAGGACACACAGAAGUCACCAUCUAUAAGAAACAGGCUCCCACCAGACACUGAGUCUGCUGGAGCCUUGAUCUUGAAUUUCCCAACCUCCAGAACUGUGGCCACCAGACUUUCUCUGCUUGUAUCCUCCCAGGACCACAGAACUCAUCGCAUCCCAAGGCAGCCUAUUCCAUCAUGGAUGAGCUCAAAGUGUUUGAAAGUUCUGCUUUAUCAAAACUCUUGAUGGCCUGCUUCCCAUCCUCCAUCCUGGAAGACUGAUCUGAAACCCCAGGAGGAGGUCCUCUGAGCCCUGAGGCAGAGAUCUCUCACCUGGAAGAUGGGUCUAAUGACUGCGCCCCACACACACCAGAGAGGACUGCAGAUAGUGCGGGAUGAGAGGAAGAUCUCUGGCCCUGGAGACAGCAUCAUCAAGCGAAAACGUAUGAGGAAGAAAAUAGCAGAUGAGAAGAAUCAACCAAAUUCCGGAAGCUGGAAGGCAGAUGCAAGAAGGCCCUUGAAUGAUGCCAGCACCUUGAUAUUGGACUUUCCAGCCUCCAGAACCAUGAGCCAAUACAUUUCUGUUCCAUAAAAAUUACCCAGUUCCAGGUAUUCUGCUAUAGCAGCACAAAAUGGACUAAAACAAUGUUGGCACAAGACUCAGUGCUGGGCCUGGCAUGCAACAGGUCCUUGGAGUGGCGUGCUGUGUGGAUAAUGAAUAUUGGGGAAGGCAUCUCUCUCCAGCCCCUCUCAAGCUUUCUGUAGUCACUGGUCCACUCUGUAUUGCUAUGAAGAAGCUCAAGACCAGCCUGUAUCACUCGGGGUCCUGGCAGGAACCAGGUGCCACACUCAAACUGAGUAAUUGAAGAGGGUUUAAUAUGGGAGUUAUUUACAUAGGUGUGGGCUGGUGUAGCUGCCCAUAUGCCCUCAAAAUCACCUCUACAUGGCAAUAGCUACUUACUGCUAACAGAGUCUCUCUCUCAUUGCUGCAAAUAUUUUCUAGCCAUGCAAGAAACUCAGCCGGUCAUGUUGAACAAACUAAGAGUGCCAGGAAGUUAAUGUCCUGGAAGCAUUGCCAGAGGGGAGGGGGCAGUUAGAUUCCCCAGCUUCCUCGCUCCUCUGCUGGGUUAAGCCUGCAACAUAUUCAUCAUCUCCCAGAGUGCUGCCCAGGGAUAGAGCUCCAGGUGCUCAGUGUGGUGACCUGCUCAUGUCAGCUUCUUCCCCUUUCCUGUCUUGUUUCGCACCCACAUCCUUCCCAUGUUUCCUCUUCCCAAAUAAACUACUUGCAUUGAAAUCUUUGUCUCAGGCUCUGCUUCUGGGGAAACCUGAACCUAGCGAGGAGAGUUUAAGGAAAGCAACAACGGGUGGCGUGGGACUCUGGUAACAAAGGGAACCACUGCCUUUCAAGAAAACGGCAGGAGGCCAGGCACGGUAGCUCAUGCCUGUAACGCCAACACUUUGGGAGGCCAAGGUGGGUGGAUUAUUUGAGGUCAGGAGUUCAAGACCAGCCUGGCCAACAUGGUAAAACCAAGUUUCUACUAAAAAUACAAAAAUUAGCCGGGC